UUCGUAAUAGCGAAUCGAGCGAAAUAGCAGCCAGCCAGCACAGAAGUUGGGUCGAGUCGAGAUUCCUCGCGUUUGGUUUUCAAUUCGUAUUGUGUGUGGCAAGCUGAAAGUCAAGAACAGCAGUAGCCAUAUUCGUCUUUGAAUUUGUGAUUUUGUUCAUUGCAAAUCGCGUUUCGAUUCCGCAGUGACAAGUACGCAAUCGAGUGAUUUUCGUUCGUCAAACUUGUUCAUACAAAGAGACACUUUCAUCCGCGAGUUUUAUAAUUCUUGUGCUCGGGUUUCGGAACCUCCGAAAGUCGGAUCCCAUUUUGUGUGGAGAAAGUCUGCGCUGUACCUGGUGUUUCGAGUGUGUCCCCUGCCGUUUCGGGGGACCGGAAUGAGUUUUUGCAUGUUGAACUAAUUUUAGUGACUUUUCGGUGUACGAGUUUCCUGCCCUUUUUCUUUCGAUUAUUUCCAAAUAAGAGCAUUUCCCUCGAGUUGGCAGGCUGCGUGAAGCGCGUAGAAAAAGUGAAAAAAGUGGUGAGCAUAGUGAGAAAAUUUGGUGAAAACGAUGUCAGUUCCUUCUCAUGGGGCGAUGUGUUGAAAAUCUGUCGGUGUUCCCAGCGAGUGUGUAGUCAAAAAUCUUUUUUUUUUCACUUGCAAUAAGCAACAGGAGUGUGCGAGCCGAUGGUUGUAUGGGUGUUUGUGUAGCAACCAUCCAAACGAAGAAGAGUGAGAAUUGAAUUGAAAAUAAAAAAAAAAACAAGAAGAAUUUAUUCAAUCCCAUCAGUAAUAGCAAAAAUAAAGCGGAGAAGAAAUUGAAAACACACCCGAUGAGAAGAAGAAAUAUAAUUUUUCCUUGUUUCUGUUUUAUCACGAAGAAAAAGUGAGAAUAAACCCGGUCAAGAUUGGUUCAGUGGUGAAAAAUCAAAAUUCCAACUCAUCGAACCCCACUUGGUAGUAGCAGUCGAUUCGAGAGGAGGCCCAGCAGAGAAAAAUGUCUAUGGACAGCCGGAACACCUCGGCCCUGUUCAAACGGGCCGAACAGCUCAAACGCUGGGAGGAAUCCGAUACGAACAAGCACAGCGGCACUCCGAAGAGUCCCUCGAUGCGUCGGAUCAAGUUUUCCUCCGGGUGUAUCUUUCUGGCAGCUUGCGUAGCCGGGGACAAGGAUGAAGUCUCCCGGCUGCUGGAAACCGGAGCCGACAUCGACACAGCAAAUGUGGAUGGACUGACGGCGCUGCAUCAGGCCUGUAUAGAUGAUAAUCUGGAUAUGGUCGAGUUUUUAGUACAGAACGGAGCUGAUGUGAACAGAAAAGACAAUGAAGGAUGGACACCUCUGCAUGCCACAUCUUCCUGCGGGUUUCUCAGCAUAGCUCGUUAUCUGAUCGAAAAUGGUGCCGAUCUGGCAGCGAUCAACAGCGACGGUGAACUGGCACUGGAUCUGGCCUGUUCGGACGCAAUGGAGGAUCUCAUCCAGCGACACAUCGACGCACAGGGCAUUGACUGUGACGAGGCUCGCCAAAUAGAGGAGAAGAUCAUGCUGAGCGACGCGAAACGGUGGCUCCGCAGCGACAGUACAGACUGUGAUAAACCCCAUCCCAAGACUGGCGCGACGGCGAUCCACGUGGCAGCGGCGAAAGGAUACAUCAAAGUGCUUGGUUUGUUGCUGGACGGACGGGGGGACUUUGACAAGCAGGACGUAGACGGCUGGACGGCCCUGCAUGCUGCGGCAUAUUGGGGCCAGAAGGAAGCAGUACAGAUGCUACUAAACGCAAAUGUAGAUAUUGACAUUCAGAACUACAGUGGUCAGUAUGCAAUAGACAUUGCACAGAAGGAUAUCGUUCCCUUGCUGGACGAGGCGAGAAAGAACAUUAAGCGGCCCAAACGGCGACCUGCUAGUCAAAUUAGAAUUACGGACACUAUUGAGAAUAGCAUCGAGACACCCACGAAGGUCAUCCGAGUCGAGGUCAAACCGAUCGACAGUAAAGAGAAAGAAGAAUAUACCAGUGGUAGUGAGCAAGAGGAGGAGGUAUUGGAAGAAGAGGAAGUAGAGAUCGAAGAAGUUGAAGAUGGAAUGGACGACAGCGGAAGUGGUCAAGAAGGGGAUGCGGAGAGGGAAGAAUUGGCAAAUGAUGAUGGAGAGUGUUCCGAAGAAGAAGUUCCUGAGAAAGAAAAUCAACCAACUGAACCUGAUGUGAUACUGCGACGGACGCAAAGUUUCGAGAGCGAUGAAAAGUUCUAUCAGAAGUACGUCGAACUGCGGGCAAGAAUACAGGCCAACUCGUGCCCCAUCCUGCCUAACACGAACGCAAAAACGGCUGUCAGUAACUAUCUCGUACAAAGGUCAGCUUCGCUCAAGGACCAUCGGACGCUAAGAAAAGCUACCAGUAACCUGGUGCUGGGUAGUACCGGUAGUACCACUACCGGUUCCGUUACAACGAACUUACAAUCAACGACACCGACUGCCAUGUCACCGCCCACUAGUCCAACCGGUACACCGACUACAACGCCAAGUGCCGGACAAAUUCGCAGUAUCACACCUACCAACAGUGACAAUAACAACAUCAACCGUGUCACACCGCUCGAGGUCACCGUCACACCAGUCGACCACAGAAAUAACAACAACGAUUCCACUGCCACCACCAACAGUAAUAACAGCAGUAGUAACGUAAUCAACAAAAAUCAUAGUCUGUUCGAACUCAAUCGAAAAUACAUCGAACAAGCACAGAAGACGAAAAUUAAUAACGAGCGUAACAAAUUUCUCUCCUCUCUCAACGAGAAGAGGCAACAGCAGCAACAGGAAGCAGCACUACAACAACAGCAGAAGGAAGCGAAAGCGGCAUCCUCAGCAGCACAGCAGACAGCCGCAAAAUCCGGCUCCGCAGAAAAAGAACCGUCGCCGGCGGAACCAACCGCUAGUGCUCAGAGCGUAGCAGCCGUCUACGCACCGGCCGCCUCCAACGUAUCGCCGACACCAUCGCCAGUUACGCCAGCAAGCCCUUCCACCCAAUCAUCUCCGACAGUGACCUCGACGAACAAACUUUCAGCGGGCAAUAUUUUCAAGAAUUUCUUCAAAUCAUUUGUGCCACCGACGCGCGAUGAGGAGAGUGAAACGCAGCGGAAAGCGCAUGCCAAGCGGGUCCGCGAAACCCGACGUUCCACGCAGGGUGUCACGUUGGAUGAAAUCAAAAGUGCCGAGCAGUUGGUCAAGAAAAAGAAUUCCUCCAACAGUGAUAGCGACCCAGCUACAACCACACCCAUUACCACCGCUACACCAACAAUCACCACCACUCCCAGCAGUACCACCAUACCCACGUCAUCAACAUCCAUCCCCAUCAACGAUCGUGUACCCUCGGUGGACGGUAGCAGUGGUGCGGCUAGCAGUAUGGCAGAGGUAAGCAGAAAGGUUUCUACGUCAGCAUCAGCAGGAGCACCACUGUCCAAUAGUGAAGAGCAGGUGUCGGCCAGUUUCACAAUCAGCGUUCCUCCAUCGAACAUUGCUACUACGACCACCGUCAAACCGAACCGCGUUGAUGGCGGUGGUGGUGGCGGCGUUAGCGGUGGAGAAGGAGGAGGUGGAGGAGGAGGAGGAAAUGGAGUUCCGGCAACUCCGAAUGAGGAUGGCAGAAAAAUCAGCGUUUCGUACACGAUCUCUACUCCGAGACUCAACAGUUCCGCUACAACGAUGAAAACGAGUAGUUCAGUAGAAGCCACAACGAACGCCAAAGAAAAGGAUACGGCAGAAUCCCCAACAGUGACAGCGGUAUUCAGUGUGCCUGGUGUAACCGCUGCCACCACUACGACCAACAACAAUAAUUCUAGCAGUAACAACAAUAAUGUUAAUAAAAAGACUGAAUCAGACGAGUUAACGAGAAUGAAACCUACGAUAGGUGAUUCCUCGAUUAGCAGCACCCCCGCUGCAGCAGUAUCGGCAACAGCAACCAUUCGGACCGCAGGUUCCUUCAGUACCAACAAACGGUCCCUGUUUGACAUCGAUAAUGCUAAUUCACUUACCCUGGCAGAAAAACUGCGUCAGGAAGCUAACAAGUACGCUGAAAGCGACAAGGAAAACUUUGCUGGUUUGAAAGGACCUGCUAGCACCGGUAAUGCAUCGGUAACGACCGCCCCAACGACAACAACUAAAAGUGAAACGGUCACUAGUUCUACUCCAGUUGCCUCUGUCGAAGGUACAGUAUUACUGCGAAAAGAGACGAGUGCACCAUCGUCUCCGUUGCAUCAGCACCAACAGGCGAUGGCCGAGAGGAGACCGUCGUGGCGUUUGAAGGUGGAUGGAGGAUCUAAGUUUAAACUGGAAGACGCCUCGGUGCCAGCCAGCAUAUCCGCCUCUGCACCUACCACCAAUGCUACGAGCAAUAACACCACUGUCCUGGAUUCCGCAAACAGUCGGCAGCAGAACGAGCUAAAUAGUAUCUCGACGUCCUCGUUAGCCCAACGAAGGCAGAACGGCGACAGCAGUAAUCUAAUCACAUCCCGUCCUAUAUCGGCACCGGAGAUGAGCAGUUCUACGAUGUCUUCCGUUGCCAGCAAUCAACAGCAGAACGAUGCUAGUUCGCAUCUGCGGAGACCACUGAAGGCUAGUGAGGAGAACAAGGAAAAUGACAAAGAAAACGAGAACCGCAGUAGUGCCCAGGCAACGCAGGCGGUCAUCCAGAGAAGGAGGCGCCCGAAGAGGCGAUCCACUGGCGUGGUGCACGUCGACAUGGAGGAUAUUGAUCCAGAACGUCAAGAUUCUCCAGUCGACGGGGAGGAGAAAGAGUCCGGAGCGGAACGAGGUCGAUCGCGCGUUGGUUCGACCGCAUUUGAGCUAGCGGAUCAAAAGGACGUAGAAUCCAAGGAAAAUGGUGGUGACUACAUUGACUACAAAGCUCUCUAUGAACAGGCCAAAGCGGAGAAUGAUAAACUUAAGAGCGCAAUGCGGAAAAAGGAGGAAGAAGUGAUCAGUUUGAAAGCAGCGCUCGAUAGGUUCACUACCGCGAGGUAUCAACCAUGUGGUCAUUUACCUCCCUGGUCAGAAAAAUCUUCUGACCCUGUGUACGAGGUUGGAAAUCGAUCCGAGACGACCAAGAACAACUCGUUGUCGGAGUUAGAAAAACGGGAAAGACGAGCGAUGGAACGAAAAAUGUCGGAAAUGGAGGAAGAGCUCAAGUUACUGCAAAAAUUCAAAACUGAGAAUGAACGCCUACGCGCUGAGAAUCGCGCCCUCACGCGGGUAGUGUCUAAACUUACAACAUCGGCGCAGAAUCAAUUGCACAACAAACAAUAGUAACGGUAGAUGUUGCUGCUGAAGAUAGUACUGGUAGCAAAACACGAAGAGAAUAAAAAAAAUGAACAGAUUUGUCGCACCCGCACGCACACAACACCGCCUGUAGACCGCAAUUGAUUUUACCUAGUACUUGUUCGAUACAUUUAUAGCGUUUCUGAGUAGUUCAUUAGUAAAUUGGAUCGCCAACUAUGCAAUUAGAGGACUGAUGUAGAGGAAAUAUUUCUAACUUCUAAUAACAGAUAAAGAUCGAUGUAGCCAAAAAUAAACUAGUGAAACCCUGCUAAACUGAAGCCAAACAGCUUUUAUCCGAUAUAGAAAAAAAAAAUGCAAAUCAAACAAAGUGACAAUGUUUAUGAUACACAUACACACACAUCAUAUCAGACAGCGGACAUGUGUAGGCGGGGUGCGUUCAGCAUUUCUAAUCACAGCACGCCGAGAAACGGUACAUCUACCGACGAUCUACUCGUGGACAUCGACAUCUCAACGAACUUUCGCACACAACGGUUAGCAGCUUCACUGUAGUCUUCUAGCAACGUCACGUCACUAGAAGAAGAAAAAAACAAACAAUAAACGAACAAACCAACAAAUAGGCAAACGAAAAAAAUGAAACCAAAAAUAACAAAGGUUCGCGAUUGCCCCUAAACUGGUCUAUCCACCGAAACUGACUUUGCAGUUGGACGCUCUCAAGACCGAGAAUCAACGCCUGAAGGACGAGAACGGAGCACUCAUUCGUGUAAUUAGUAAGUUAAGUAGAUAGAGGCAGGCAGUUUUAUGCGCGAGCAAGCCUUUCGUUUCUGGUGGAAGUAUCUGAAGGCAAAUUAAGGUACUGAGUUUUAUCAAUUUCACUAAGCAAACAGAGCGCGGGAAAAAACAGAUACCCAUUAUUUUAUCACUAGACCUAUUGAAACGAUCAAAUGGAGAAUAUUAAACAUACUAUGUAAAUUAGAGGAAAAAUCAAACUAAACGCAGAUUUACUAAGCUUUUAUCUACAGAGCAAGCGGACCUAUUUAUUACACAUGAACAACACGUAUCAAUCAAAAUGAUUUCAUCCGUUUCAUCUUUGUAGGUAUUGUUUGUCGAACUGUUAUUGUACUCCUUCCAAUAGUUCCGUUGUUUUCUAUAAAUCAGUUCAACAAACGCUCAACCAGUAGUGGUUGAUUGAAUGAUUGAUUGUUUAAAAAAUAAAAGUAUCCUCUCUGUGCUGUUUCAAUUGGAGUAAGAGAACAAAGAUAAAUGAAAUGGCAAAACUAAUUAUGUUAAUUGUCUAUAGAAAUGAUAGAAAGCUAAUCCUCUAUGAAGCUAUUUUUAAACUGAUGCUCAGAGGCAAAAUAAUAUUGCAGCACUUUGUCCAAAAUUAUUUUGAUACAAAAAAAAUUACGCCUCAAGUCGGGACGAAGCAUACUAGAGACGCAACUUGUUUGAGUGGAAUAAGUUAUAAACAAAAACUACGUUAAAUUUAAAUGUGAAACUCAUUUUUCGUGAGUGUGAGCCUUUUAUUUCUUGUAUUUUUGUGUAGGACAAAAUUGACUGUGUUGAGAAGUAACGGAAGAAAACUACAAAACAAUAAAGGAUGCUGUUUGAGAAAUCUGUGAAAGAAACAGAAAAGUAUAUUUAUAGAUUUUUAUAGCAACCACACGCUGCGUAUUUAUAUGUAUACAUCAUUUAGGGAAAGAGAGAUAAUAAUCACUUUUUU